GGGCCAUGGCUUAGUGGCAGAACAUCUGUUUUGCAUGCAGAAGGUCUCUGGUUCAAUCCUGACAUCUCCA